GCCGAUGUAGCUCAGUUGGUAGAGCAACUCCAUGGUAAGGAGUAGGUCUCCAGUUCAAAUCUGGACAUCGGCU
rnacentral:tRNA from 2 species